rnacentral:rRNA from 1 species
AGCAGCCGCGGUAAUUCCAGCUCCAAUAGCGUAUAUUAAAGUUGUUGCAGUUAAAAAGCUCGUAGUUGAAUUUCGGGGUUAGUACGCUGGUCGUGCCUUCGGUAUGUACUGGUGUUUCUGAUUCCUACCUUCUGAAGAACCGUCAUGUCAUUAAUUUGGUGUGGCGGGGAAUCAGGACUGUUACUUUGAAAAAAUUAGAGUGUUUAAAGCAGGCUCGCGCUUGAAUACAUUAGCAUGGAAUAAUGAAAUAGGACGUUCGAUCCUAUUUUGUUGGUUUCUAGGAUUGACGUAAUGAUUAAUAGGGAUAGUUGGGGGCAUUAGUAUUCAAUUGUCAGAGGUGAAAUUCUUGGAUUUAUUGAAGACUAACUACUGCGAAAGCAUUCGCCAAGGAUGUUUUCAUUAAUCAAGAACGAAAGUUAGGGAUCGAAGACGACCAGAUACCGUCGUAGUCUUAACCAUAAACUAUGCCGACUAGGGAUCGGAUGAUGUCAAUUUUUUAANGACUUCAUUCGGCGCCUUA